UCACUUACCUGGCAGGAGAGAUACCAUGAUCGAGAAGGUGGUUUUUCCAGGGUGAGGAAAUAUGCACUCCAAAUGUACUGACCCCUGAGAUUUCCCCAAAUGCAGGAAGCUCAACUGCAUAAUUUCUGGUAGUGGGAGACUGUGUUUGUGCUCUCCCCUG
rnacentral:snRNA from 1 species